GUGAGGGAUGACGGCCUUCGGGUUGUAAACCUCUUUUAGCAGGGAAGAAGCGAAAGUGACGGUACCUGCAGAAAAAGCGCCGGCUAACUACGUGCCAGCAGCCGCGGUAAUACGUAGGGCGCAAGCGUUAUCCGGAAUUAUUGGGCGUAAAGAGCUCGUAGGCGGUUUGUCGCGUCUGCUGUGAAAUCCCGAGGCUCAACCUCGGGCCUGCAGUGGGUACGGGCAGACUAGAGUGCGGUAGGGGAGAUUGGAAUUCCUGGUGUAGCGGUGGAAUGCGCAGAUAUCAGGAGGAACACCGAUGGCGAAGGCAGAUCUCUGGGCCGUAACUGACGCUGAGGAGCGAAAGGGUGGGGAGCAAACAGGCUUAGAUACCCUGGUAGUCCACCCCGUAAACGUUGGGAACUAGUUGUGGGGUCCAUUCCACGGAUUCCGUGACGCAGCUAACGCAUUAAGUUCCCCGCCUGGGGAGUACGGCCGCAAGGCUAAAACUCAAAGGAAUUGACGGGGACCCGCACAAGCGGCGGAGCAUGCGGAUUAAUUCGAUGCAACGCGAAGAACCUUACCAAGGCUUGACAUAUACGAGAACGGGCCAGAAAUGGUCAACUCUUUGGACACUCGUAAACAGGUGGUGCAUGGUUGUCGUCAGCUCGUGUCGUGAGAUGUUGGGUUAAGUCCCGCAACGAGCGCAACCCUCGUUCUAUGUUGCCAGCACGUAAUGGUGGGAACUCAUGGGAUACUGCCGGGGUCAACUCGGAGGAAGGUGGGGAUGACGUCAAAUCAUCAUGCCCCUUAUGUCUUGGGCUUCACGCAUGCUACAAUGGCCGGUACAAAGGGCUGCAAUACCGUGAGGUGGAGCGAAUCCCAAAAAGCCGGUCCCAGUUCGGAUUGAGGUCUGCAACUCGACCUCAUGAAGUCGGAGUCGCUAGUAAUCGCAGAUCAGCAACGCUGCGGUGAAUACGUUCCCGGGUCUUGUACACACCGCCCGUCAAGUCAUGAAAGUCGGUAACACCUGAAGCCGGUGGCCUAACCCUUGUGGAGGGAGCCGUCGAAG
rnacentral:rRNA from 1 species